UGUUAAAAAAUAUAAAAUAUUGAACAGUAACAAAUUAAAUCAUUAAUCAAAAUAUAUAUACAAAUAUCAACUAUAAUCUAUAUAUAAUCAGCUGUAAAGCAAACAUUUACUUACUUAAUCGCAACGAUCAUGGUGCAACCUCGGUGAAUUGUCGCGAACCCAGUUAUUAGUGUCGGUGUCAAAACCGAAAUGUACACGCUGAUAAAAAUAGUACCGCAAUUCGUCGACAGCAAUCGGAUGGAAUUUCCUGAAACAACAAAAAUAUCAUUAUUCUGGCGUGCAAUUCCUCUCUAUUGUAACAGCAAUACAAACAGCAGUUAGCCACACUUAACCGCCAAUUCAUUCACACAAAACCGACACACAUAAAUCUCACCGAUUGGCAAUUACCACGCUGCAGUCAAGCGCAAACAUACAAACGUCGACGUCACUGGCUUUCGCCGGCUGACGCACCAACACACACUCCAACGCGCGUACAAAAAAAAACAAUGCACCACCGGAAAUGCAUUUCACUCGGCAAAAGCAAGGAAAAACGAGUAUCCUUAGCUAUGUCUUGCAAUCACGCGAUUUGUGCUGAUGCGCCAUGUCGCAGAGAGAGAGAGAGUAGGAUUGUAAGUAGUAUUUAGUGUGUAAAGUGUCACUCAUACGCCUGGUGGCAGGACAUAGCUCGCGCCUUUGCCGCUUGAGUCAUGUAUAUAUCCAGCACGUGAAAUUUGGCGCAUUCGGAGUAGCGGUGGUGGUGCUUGAGUGGUAGCCACACGCUGAGAUUGGUGUGCCUGUGUGAGUAGGCGCGAGAGCGCCAAGUAGUAUGAGAGCGUCGUCGCCUAAACGAACAACAACUGACAAAUUGGCAUUUCGCUCAUUGGCUGCAAGCACCAUAAAGGAUGUGGAAGUAACGGCUAGCGACGUCGACUACCCAACUGGCCAAUCAGAAAGGUGCCGAGCGCAAGUAAGCGUUUACUUGUAUAAAUAUCCUUAGCUGCUUGUGGCGAAGUAAAAUUAAUGCUACAUGAAUGCAAGAAAGAAGGUGUGUGAGCGGAGAAGGAGUUGUAUUUGUUUUAAUGGGCUGGAAAGCAAAGGACACUUGCCAAAGAUAACAACAAUAAUUUUUGGCGCUGCCUCUGUUUUCUGCCAAUAUCUUGAGGCAAAUAUUAAGAUUCUGCAGAAUGAUAUUAUUGUAAAAAUGUGUUAUGCUUGUUGCGAUUUAUUAGCGAUUUUUUUAAUUGGUAUCAAAAUGAACGCAUAUAUGUAUAAUCGUAAGUCAGGCUUGUAAAUAGUGCAUAGUAUAUAUAAUAAUAAAAUAUAUAAUAAGUAAACAUUUGUAAUUAGCGUAAUAUCAAAAUUUAACUUUAGUUUAUAACAGUUCUAGCCCCGUCUUGUAUGUCUUAUUGGUAGUCACCUGGCGGUCACGGUGUUGCUUGGAAAAUAACAACUGGUCCAGCACAUCGCCCGCAAUAUUUUUAUUUUAGAUUUAUUUUUAAUUUAAUAUUCAUCUAGUAAUCAUAUAAACCUACAUAUUAUAAAAAAAUAUUGGUAAUUAAUGACAAGAAAAAAAUCGAACAAUAUUCACUAGCUCAACCAAAUCAAUAUUGUCAUAUAAUUACUUAAAUACUCAUAUAAUGUAAUUUGUAGAAAAUAGUUUUACGUGACCAGCGUAAUGUUCAGAGGAAGAAGGAGAAUAUUGAAAAUGAAUAAAGAUUGAAAAACUGUAAAGCUCUCGACAGCGGAACAGAAAA
rnacentral:lncRNA from 1 species